CGCCUUUUGUCAGAAUAGAAGGUCUAGCCUGCCCACUGAAGAAGUUAAAGGGCCGCGGUAUAUUGACCGUGCAAAGGUAGCAUAAUCAUUAGUCUUCUAAUUAAAGGCUGGAAUGAAUGGCUGGACGAGGUAUUAGCUGUCUCCUUGAGAUAGCCCAGAAAUUAACCUUUUAGUCAAAAGGCUGAAAUGUAAUUGGAGGACGAGAAGACCCUAUAGAGCUUUAUACCACAAAUGUGUAGCUUGUUUCGACGGAGUUUGGCUUAACAUGGGAGGUAUUUUGUUGGGGUGACAGGAAGAUAUAAGAAACUCUUCUUUUAACAAACCAUAAAUAUAUGAAUUAAAUGAUCCAGUGAGAGUGAUUAAAAGACUAAGUUACCUUAGGGAUAACAGCGUAAUCUUUUUUGAGAGUUCAAAUCGACAAAAAGGGUUGCGACCUCGAUGUUGGACUAAGGGUUAUUCUUGGGUGUAGAAGUUCAAGGUUUGGGUCUGUUCGACCCUUGAAUCCUUACAU
rnacentral:rRNA from 1 species